GACCGCUCCGAUGGCCUAGUUGUUAGAGUGUCUGCCUUGGAUGUAGAAAGUCGUGGGUUCGAACCCCAGCUGAGUCA